rnacentral:rRNA from 1 species
CCUACGGGAGGCAGCAGUGAGGAAUAUUGGUCAAUGGGCUUACGCCUGAACCAGCCAAGCCGCGUGAGGGAAGACUGCUCUAUGGGUUGUCAACCUCUUUUGUCAGGGAGCAAUUGGCGCUACGUGUAGCGUUAUCGAGAGUACCUGAAGAAAAAGCAUCGGCUAACUCCGUGCCAGCAGCCGCGGUAAUACGGAGGAUGCGAGCGUUAUCCGGAUUUAUUGGGUUAAAGGGGUGCGUACGCGGAAUGCGAAGUCAGCGGUAAAAUCCCGGGGUUCAACCUCGCGCCGCCGUUGAUAAUGGCGUUCUUGAGUGUGCGUGCAGUAUGCGGAAUGCGUGGUGUAGCGGUGAAAUGCAUAGAUAUCACACAGAACUCCGAUUGCGAAGGCAGCAUACCAACGCCCAACUGACGCUGAAGCACAAAAGCGUGGGUAUCGAACAGGAUUAGAUACCCCAGUAGUC